rnacentral:rRNA from 1 species
GACGAACGCUGGCGGCGUGCCUAAUACAUGCAAGUCGAACGAAGCUGAUUUAACUGGUGCUUGCACCGACUUAAACAACUGAGUGGCGAACGGGUGAGUAACACGUGGGUAACCUGCCCCAAAGCGGGGGAUAACAUUUGGAAACAGAUGCUAAUACCGCAUAACCACAGAAACCACAUGGUUUCUGUGUCAAAGAUGGUUUCGGCUAUCACUUUGGGAGGGACCCGCGGCGUAUUAGCUAGUUGGAAAGGUAAUGGCUUACCAAGGCAAUGAUACGUAGCCGAACUGAGAGGUUGAUCGGCAACAUUGGGACUGAGACACGGCCCAAACUCCUACGGGAGGCAGCAGUAGGGAAUCUUCCACAAUGGACGAAAGUCUGAUGGAGCAACGCCGCGUGAGUGAAGAAGGUUUUCGGAUCGUAAAACUCUGUUGUCAGAGAAGAACGUGUGCGAGAGUAACUGCUCGUGCAGUGACGGUAUCUGGCCAGAAAGCCACGGCUAACUACGUGCCAGCCGCCGCGGUAA